UUUGUAUAAUGGGUCAGCGACUUAUAUUCAGUGGCAAGGUUAACCAUCUAGGGGAGCCGUAGGGAAACCGAGUCUUAACUGGGCGUUCAGUCUCUGGAUAUAGACCCGAAACCAGGUGAUCUAGCCAUGGGCAGGUUGAAGGUUGAGUAACAUCAACUGGAGGACCGAACCGACUAAUGUUGAAAAAUUAGCGGAUGACUUGUGGCUAGGGGUGAAAGGCCAAUCAAACCUGGAGAUAGCUGGUUCUCCCCGAAAGCUAUUUAGGUAGCGCCUCGGACGAAUACUACUGGGGGUAGAGCACUGUUAAGGCUAGGGGGUCAUCCCGACUUACCAACCCUUUGCAAACUCCGAAUACCAGUAAGUACUAUCCGGGAGACACACGGCGGGUGCUAACGUCCGUCGUGGAGAGGGAAACAACCCAGACCGCCAGCUAAGGUCCCAAAUUACUACUAAGUGGGAAACGAUGUGGGAAGGCUCAGACAGCCAGGAUGUUGGCUUAGAAGCAGCCAUCAUUUAAAGAAAGCGUAAUAGCUCACUGGUCGAGUCGGCCUGCGCGGAAGAUGUAACGGGGCUAAGUAGUAAACCGAAGCUGCGGCAAUGUGCUUUUGCACAUUGGGUAGGGGAGCGUUCUGUAAGCGGUUGAAGGUGUGUGGUAACGCAUGCUGGACGUAUCAGAAGUGCGAAUGCUGACAUGAGUAACGAUAAAGGGGGUGAAAAACCUCCUCGCCGGAAGACCAAGGGUUCCUGUCCAACGUUAAUCGGGGCAGGGUAAGUCGACCCCUAAGGCGAGGCCGAAAGGCGUAGUCGAUGGGAAACGGGUUAAUAUUCCCGUACUUCUUACAAUUGCGAUGGGGGGACGGAGAAGGCUAGGUGGGCCUGGCGACGGUUGUCCAGGUUCAAGUGCGUAGG
rnacentral:rRNA from 1 species